GCAGUUAAAAGUGACCAGUCUGAUAUCUAGGUGAGAUGAAUAAUUAAUAUAUAAAUACAAAUAUCUUUUCAGAUAGGGGCUGAAGAACUUCAUGGCUGAUACAGUAAGACAAACUAAAUCCAAAUCUUGUAAAUCAUGAAUGGAAGAGAUGAUAGAAUCUCCGACAUAAUGUAUAAAUGCCUUUCAGCAUGAAUUAUGAAAGGUAUGUGUGUGUGUUUGUAGGGUACUUAUCCAUAACAUGCGUUUAUGAUUUAUUUUCUCUAGUUUUAUCUUUCUAUCUCCUGUUAAUGCUAGACGUGGUGGACGAAUAUUUAUAGAAACUUUAUGAUCUAAGUCGUGGGAUCGAGUUUUGAGUACCGGGAUCGAAUCGCUCUAGCUAGUUGUAUAGGAUCUUAGGUAGGGUUAGGCAAAAUAUUUUGAUUCGUUAAUUAUCCAUUUCGAUUCAAACAAAAAAAAUCUGUAUAUCCGUAACUAUAUGAAACAAAACAAAUACUAAUGUAUAAUAUUUGUAAAAGACGGAUCAAAUCACGAAUACUAACAUUUUUAGGAACAAAUAUUGGAUCUGAUAUGUUAUAUACAUAUAUUAUAAUUAUUAUAUUUUAUUUAAGUUUUAUGAUAUUUUAUUUAUUAAACUAAUUAUUUUAGUUAUUAAAGCUUUUAAAAUAAAUGGAUUUUUUAUUUUUAUAAUAAAAUAUUACUAUUCUAUAUUAUUUUUGGACUUUUUGUAUUUUUUUAGUUUUUAAGACUUUUAUUUUAUUUAUAAGGAUCAAAUUAGAUAUAUAGACACUCAAAUAUCCGGAUAGAUGUGAAGCGGAUCAAAUCAGAUAAUUGAUUAUUCGGAUGAAACAUAUCUGAUUACGAAUACUUCUGAAAACCCGGAUUUUUGAUUUGUGUCCACCUAUUAUGGACCAUCAUGGCUGACCUAGAGGGUAAGCCACCCAAGCGAUCGCUUAGGACAUAUAGUUUUAGAAGACAUAUUUUUAUUUUAUUUUAUUUUAUUUUAUGUUUUUCAUAUUAAGAAUUUUUUGUUAGUAUUUGUAGUAAAUAACAGAUUUUUCUUUGCAGGUUUCAUAUAUAAAUGGGUCAAAUGUUUGUAAGUUCGUGUUUUAUAUCAAUACUAUUAAAAGGGAAGGAGUUUUAAAAAAUCUACCUAUCAAAGUUGUUUGGACCCUUUUAUUUAACUCAUUAUUUUUUGGUCUUAUCUUAAACUUAGACUAACAAUAUGUUAACAUAUAUUUCUCUAACAAUAAUUUAUUCAAUUCCAUUAUUUAUUCAAAUACCACUCCUAAAUCUUAAUCAUUACUAUUACUAUAUUUACCAUUUUGACUUUUAAUUGUAAAAGCAUUGAAACUAAUGUUUUAUAUUAUCACUUUUAUCAUAUAAUAUAUAAUUUAAAGCAAAAGAAGUUACACAAUAUAUAUGUGUACAUUUU
rnacentral:lncRNA from 1 species